CUUCCUCCCGUAAUUAUUCUUUAACUAGUGUAAAAAUUUUACAUAGUUGUGCUCUCGUUUGGAAUAUUGGUCUUCCCAAAACUGUUUUAAAUCUUUGGUACAUCUUUUUCGUCUACUUCGCAAUAACAACGUGAAAAAGAAAAAAUUGCUUUUUGCUAAGCGCCAUUUUGAACUUUGAACUCGUCCCGCCACUACCUAACCUACG